UACGUAGGGUGCGAGCGUUGUCCAGAUUUAUUGGGCGUAAAGAGCGUGUAGGCGGCCAGGUAGGUCCGGUGUGAAAACUCGAGGCUUAACCUCGAGAUGUCAUCGGAAACCAUCUGGCUAGAGUCCGGAAGAGGAAAGUGGAAUUCCUGGUGUAGCGGUGAAAUGCGUAGAUAUCUGGAGGAACACCGGUGGCGAAGGCGGCAUCCUGGGACCAAUUCUGACGCUGAGGAGC
rnacentral:rRNA from 1 species